rnacentral:lncRNA from 1 species
UGAAUCAUGGAGUGGAAGUGUAAAGCAGGUGUCUUCCUUGGCUUUCAGUCACAUUUGUGGCUUCGUUUCCUUUAGUUGUUGUGGAAGGGGCUGUGAUCUGAACUUGUCACCACUGAAACUGAGGAGAGGAUUCCCUUACACAUGGAUUCACUGAAGGUGUAAGGUGCUCAGCUGAGUUAAAAGAACUCAGGCCGUCAGAUGGGUAAGCCUUAUUGCACAGUAGUGAGUGAUUAUUCAGUUGCAACUCCACAGAGAGAUCCCGGACCAGCAUCAAUG